rnacentral:misc_RNA from 1 species
GAAAUGCGAUAAGUAGUGUGAAUUGCAGAAUUCAGUGAAUCAUCGAAUCUUUGAACGCACAUUGCGCCCCUUGGUAUUCCAUGGGGCAUGCCUGUUCGAGCGUCAUUUGUACCCUCAAGCUCUGCUUGGUGUUGGGUGUUUGUCCCGUUUUGCACGUGGACUCGCCUCAAAUCAAUUGGCAGCCGGCAAUCUGGUAUUUGAGCGCAGCACAUUUUGCGCUUCUUGCCAUGGAUGUUGGCGUCCAUUAAGCAAUAUUUUUGCUCUUGACCUCGGAUCAGGUAGGGAUACCCGCUGAACUUAA